rnacentral:sRNA from 1 species
AUCUUCAAAUUUGGCACUGGCAUUUUGUUAGCCAAGACACGAACCCUAUUGAAAUUGCUAAUGGAAGCUGGAAAACCCAUACAAAAGUAUAUAUUACUUAACAAUAAAACAUCCAAUGUGGUCAUUUUAUAACCGAUCAUGAACAUUA